AACGAACGCUGGCGGCAUGCCUAACACAUGCAAGUCGAACGAGACCUUCGGGUCGAGUGGCGCACGGGUGAGUAACGCGUGGGAACCUGCCCUUAGGUUCGGAAUAACUCCCCGAAAGGGGUGCUAAUACCGGAUAAUGUCUUCGGACCAAAGAUUUAUCGCCUUUGGAUGGGCCCGCGUUGGAUUAGCUAGUUGGUAGGGUAAAAGCCUACCAAGGCGACGAUCCAUAGCUGGUCUGAGAGGAUGAUCAGCCACACUGGGACUGAGACACGGCCCAGACUCCUACGGGAGGCAGCAGUGGGGAAUAUUGGACAAUGGGCGAAAGCCUGAUCCAGCAAUGCCGCGUGAGUGAUGAAGGCCUUAGGGUUGUAAAGCUCUUUUACCCGGGAUGAUAAUGACAGUACCGGGAGAAUAAGCUCCGGCUAACUCCGUG
rnacentral:rRNA from 1 species